GGGAUAAUACCUAUUGGGCCCUAGAACCCUAAUUGCCGGUACACUAUUACUAUUCCAGGGAAGGUAAGAGAUGGAUAAAUACGUGAGCAGGUGUACGUACCUGGUAGUAUGGUAUUGAACCUGACAAUCCGUAUAGGUUUUUUAGUAGUAACUGCAACCUGAACGGAUAAAAUCGUAUGGCAUAAGGAAAUAUGGCAUAGACCAAGCUUAUCUUAAAACAUACAGUAUAUGUGAAAGUAAAGUGCCG